CCAGACUCCUACGGGAGGCAGCAGUAAGGGAUAUUGGUCAGUGGGGGAAACCCUGAACCAGCAACGCCGCGUGAGGGAAGACGGUUUUCGGAUUGUAAACCUCUGUCCUCUGUGAAGAUGAUGACGGUAGCAGAGGAGGAAGCUCCGGCUGACUACGUGCCAGCAGCCGCGGUAAUACGUAGGGGGCAAGCGUUAUCCGGAUUUACUGGGUGUAAAGGGAGCGUAGACGGUCCUGCAAGCCAGAUGUGAAAGCCCGGGGCUCAACCCCGGGACUGCAUUUGGAACUGUAAGGCUAGAGUGUCGGAGAGGCAGGCGGAAUUCCUAGUGUAGCGGUGAAAUGCGUAGAUAUUAGGAGGAACACCAGUGGCGAAGGCGGCCUGCUGGACGAUGACUGACGUUGAGGCUCGAAAGCGUGGGGAGCAAACAGGAUUAGAUACCCCCGUAACA
rnacentral:rRNA from 1 species